ACUUGUGUAGUUCUGUGCUUGGGGUUGCAAGUGGAAUACUGAAAUUUUUUUGAACUCCUUAUUCUUAUUAAACUUACUCGUCAGUUAGCCUGCCAGUGCUGACACUGCAUGUUUAAACAUGUGCAGAGAUCAGAGUUAAUAUACAGCUUUCUCUGAUUGCCUUCUGAAUGUAUAUUUCAGCCCUGGUCCAAGUCUUAGAUGGCCUUAUUUUUGAGGAGUAGUUUGUGUUUGCAUGCUUGGACAGGCCUGCUUGUUUUUAUUCCUUUCUUCAGCUGUGCAGAGUGCUGGGUUCAUGCUUCUUGAUCAUAUGGGCCUUAAAGCCUAAUGCACAGACUGCUUAGAUCUUCUGUUGUCUCCCUUGUAUACCUGUGAGCCCUCUUUGAGCAAAGUGCUAUAGAAGAGCCACCUCCUACUCUGCUUGAGGGCUGUCCUCUAUAGUUUGGGCUGGAAAAGCUUACAAAUAUCACUGGGCAGGAGGUAAAAGGUGGCAGCUAUUCCUUACACUGCCUUUGGACUCUACUGACUUUUCAGUGCCUUAUUUAUUCUAGGAUCUUACCUAUUCUGGUGAAAACAGGUUAACUUAGUUGUCUGAUAGCAUUGGAAUGUAAAUAGAAUGGUAGCAGAUGGUCAGUACUUCAGAACUAAGCCUUUACCUCAGCAGGUCUGUACCUGAUUCCAAAGUCUAAUUUAGAAAUUAGUUAAACUUUGGGAAUGAAAUUAUUUUUGUUCCAGAACCAUUUGCUACCCAAACUGGUAGUUGUCAUUGUUUAACCGCAGCCCCCAACACACAGCCGCUCGCUCACCUCCCCCCACCCCUGGUGGGAUGGGAAGGAGAAUCAGAAAACAAGGUAAAACCUGUAGGUAGAUAUAAGAACAGUUUAAUAAUUGAAAUAAAAUAAUAUAAUACUAUAAUAAUUGUGAUGAAAAGGGAGACAACAAAAAAAGGAGAGAAAUAAAACUCAAGAAGCACAAAUGAUGCACAAAACAAUUGCUCACCACCCACUGACUGAUGCCCAGCCCAUAGCGGUGAUUGGUGGCUCCCAGCCAACCCACUCCCAGUUUAUAUACCAAGCAUCACAAUCCAGGGUAUGGAAUAUCCCUUUGGCUAGUUCAGGUCACCUGUUCUAGUUGUGCUCCUUCCAGCUUCUUGUGCUCCUCCUCACUGGCAGAGCGUGGGAAACUGAAAUGCCCUUGAUCAGGGUAAGCACUACUUAGCAACAACUGAAAACACAGGUUUGUAAUCAACAUUAUUUUCAGACUAAAUCCAAAACACAGCACCGUAACAGCUAUUAGGAAGAAAAUUAACUCUAUCCCAGGCAAAACCAGGACAGUCAUGCAGAAGUAAUUUGAACUGUGUUUAACUCUUUACUGUUUUGCAUCUUUAGGUAAAGAGUACAGUUCUUUCAGAGUGGGCCAAACUCUUUUCAGAAUAAUUAUAUAGUUUAUGUUGUAAAUGUUUUUAUAUUUUAGCCUUUUAUUUUCAGUUCUGUUUUUCAGCGUUAAAAAAUUCAUAGUUUAAAAUUACUUCGGGGAAUAAAACUGCUACUUCUUAAUAAAGAUGCUUUGGUCCAUUUUACUUGUGGUACCUGGUGCUUUCCAUACAUGUGCACUUUAAGCAUUUGAGUAUUUUACUUGUCCAGGAGUUCCUAAACAAUUAUAGACUGUAUCUUGGUGAAAGAAAGGCAUAGCUUGUCACUCAUGACGUUUCAAAAAGCUGCCAAAAGUGGAACUUUAUGUCGCAGUUGUAGUGUGGUAUCUUACCUACAAUUUGAUGACAGUGCUAGAUAAUACUUUCCAGUAUUGGUACAUCUUGCCAUGUGGCCACAUUGUGUAUAGGCAGAAGUGAAAUGUCAAAUCAGCUGUCCCUCUCUCUUAUUUUGUCAUUAAACCAGCAUCAGCUUUUAUAUGAUUUAGUAAUCCAUUCCAUUACCCCUGGGACUUUUAUGACUCAAUCACAUUGAAGAAUAUACCUCAUUGUUCCAUCUUUAAAUACAUCAGAUUAGUCUGUUGAUCUUCCAAGUCUGUUUGUGAUAGACACUUUUUCAGUCAAGCUAGAGGUUGUCAAGAGACACCUUGACACAUGAUUAAUAUUUUUUUAUGUACAGUGUUUGUUCGCAUAUCACUUUGCUCAUGUUUAGUGGGUGUGACUUUUACAUAUGCCUUUAUCUUCUCAGUAAAUCCACUAAAAUCUUUUCAAACCGGCAUGUAAAUCAGCAUCAGAUAACAAAUCAGGUAACUGAUUUCAUUAUCUCGUCUAAUAUGUGAAGAUUAUUUGGAUCAAUGUAAAUAUGACACCAAGAAAAACUCAGUGUUAUCAUAGUGAUCCUUUAGGGGUAGCAUUGGCUGCUUUAUCAAGAACAGAGUUCUUUAAACAGCAAAAUAGAGUCCCGAGAAAAUUUGUUUUCUCUUUUGUUUGGUUUCUUUGUUUUAAAAAAAUGGAGAAAAGCAAGCAUUUGCCAGACAUUUACUAUACUUACUGUAUUCAUUCUACUUCAUUAUUGUUUUAUUGGUUUGAUAAAAACUGCCGGAAUCAAGUGUCUUAUUGCCAUAUUUUUUUUGGUUUUUUUUCCCCCAAAAAUGUCUUAAUUAGGUUUUUAUUUGAAGAGUCUGCUUUUGGUUUUGUCCACUGAAAGAGGCUGUGGCUUUUAUUUUCUUCCAUGUGCUUUUCUUUUGUAUAUGCUUACUCAGAGAAACUCUAUUUAAUUCAUUAAAAGUAGUGUGUACAUUCAUGUACUAUUUCAUACCUUAAACAAAAAUACUACCUGACUGACCUGACAGUACACCGUUUACAUAUAGCAGUUAGACAUUUUAGCAUGUAUCCAUUUUUGUUUCUACAUUUUCUAUGUUUUUUGUGGCCUUCCUUAAAUGCAAAUUCUGAUUGCACUCAGGUGUGUUUUGGAAGAUGGAGUUAGCCUCCAUACUUUGCAAGUUGCUUUUAUCACCUUCUUUAUAGCAGAUGGUUCAAUGCCAUAGAAUAAAUAAAUACAAAGUCGAGGUAAGUGUAGUCUUAUUUACUUCUUUCCGUUUCUCUUCAAGACUAUCAGAUAAGCCCUGCCAACUCCAAUCUUGGGGAGCUCCAACUUUUCACAACACAGCCUCUAAUGUUGCAUUUGUUUUCCCUUAAUGUGAUGCAAGAUGAUGUCCAAUAGUCAGGGGUAAAACCUUGCUGUCUGAAAUCAUGAUGGUUCCAGCCUUGCCACUACCGUUUCCUGCCGGUCCUAAGGUAGGGUGUAAGGAUGUUAUUCAAAGGAUUGAUAGGCCAGAGGCAAAUGGUACACAUCAAAAUACACCCGUCUAUAGCAGCCUUAUCCUCUGCAUGAAUUUUCUAACUAGUAGCAUGGUACAGAUUUCUGAGUUUCUGUCUACAUUUCUGUUAUCACUUUGGACAAGAGCAGUGUGUUUAUUUUAACUCCCUGUGAUCUAGCAGGACACAAAGGUGAUGCAACAUCCCCUGUAAGCUGAGGCUCUCCACAGCGCUAUUCACACUUUACUGUUCCAGCCUUUUUAACCAACCUUUGCACUGAAAAUGCACAGAACUGGGUCUGUGCAGGUUUAGAGAGAUAAGCUGCUUAGUGCCUCUGCAGCCCUCAGGUGCUACUUUCUGAAGCACCACAGGCUGAUUGACAUUUGUCUCAUAUACCUUACUACUAAAUACUAACGUAGGUUAAUUAGAUGUUGCCAUAAGCACUGUUGCAGAUGAGGCCUUGUUUCCCACAGACUUGGGUCCUUUGCAGAUUAUGAGUUUUCAUUAUUUUUCCUGUGAUUAGUUACUUUUCACAGCUUUUAUGUGUAGAUUUUCAUCCCCAGCAUGUGAGCUCGAGGUGCAGCUUCUUGUCUAGACACUGAUGGAAUUUUUUUGUUCUUUUUCAAGUCUAUAAAAUCUGUGGAUUUUUUCUUUUGAAUACUCUACCUUACAGACAGACCUGGGUGGAGAUGAUCCAGUUGAUUAAAAUAAGGCAUAAGGGUGCAUGCCUUGUGUGUAGUCUGAGAGACAGGUUUGAUGUACUCUUUAAGAUCAGGGUAAAAAACGCAAUUUACAAAUAUGUAACUAAAGCUCUGACAAAAUGCCGACACACACCUCAUAUUUUGCUCUUAUGCAAUUAGUGCUUUAACUGAUUUUUUUUAAUGAUGGUCUUUACCAAUAGGUGUAAAGCUUUCAUGAUACCAAAGUAAAAACAACACAAGAACAUUCAUCUUUAAAAUUGGAAAGUAUAAUAGUGGUAUUGGGGCUUAUCCUCAGUCUCAAUUCCAGGAAGCAAAUUGCUUCUUACACUGCAGCUGGUGGGUAAGUUUCCAAUUUUUUUAUUUUUUAUAUCUAAAUUUUAAAAUAUGAGCUGUUUCAUCUUUCCGCAUCAAGUGUAUGUAGCCAUAAAUAUAUUUCAAAAGCCUGUAAUCAUUCCAGUCUGAAUCUCAAUGGCAUCUGCUUUCAAAUACUACACACCAUAGUGUUUAUUUCCGCUCAGAUUGUCAUUGUAAAGUUACAUUGCUGCUUUACAUCCCCUUACCUGGUUCAAAGGCGAUGUAAAUAAGCUGGUGCCAUUAGCUCCUCCAGGGUGUCCCAUUAAAGACCACCUGGAGAACGCACCAUUAGGAAGGAGAGUAUCAUAUUCUGCCGCGGCAAAUCUCAAUUCUAGCAUCUUUAGAUUUAUCACAGAGCAAAGAUGUUUAAAGACUUCCUUAAGAUUACAGAUUAAAAAGCUAUUAUACAGGAAAGACAAAAGAAGAAAACAUUUUGUAGUUUUUCCCUGUUGGUUUAGUGAACAUGUUCCUGCUACUAAAGUAGAGCUCUAAAUUAUUUAAAGGUCAAAAAUAAAAAGACUCGACACUGGUCAAAUAAUUUAAAAGAAAAAAUUCUAAAAUACUAUGCACUAGAAGAAAGCGUAAUAAACUGUAGUCUUCUGGACUAGGCUGAAAUAAUGCUUUAAGAAAUAAGCUGUUGGCAAUAUACGUGGUGCUCCGAAAUUCUCUGUUUAUUGUAUAGUGCCAUUGAGAAUGGAGUUGAAAAAAUUGAUGGAAUAAACUGAAGUUCUGUAAAGAAUAUUCUAAUGCCUUUUGAUAUAUUUGAGAUAAAGCCAUCCCACGAAUACUUUGGAUGCACACUAUCAGAAGUAUUUUACUGGCCUAUGUUUGUUCUGAGGAGACUUCAUGGCCAAGAAUAUGAACAAACUGUUUUAUGUAGUUGGAUUUAAAGGAUUGUCUUCACUUACAGUAGAGGCAUCUGUGAAUAAGCAGCAAGAAAUGGUGUGUGUCUUGUUUAUAAUCUGAAAUCUAUAACCAAAAUCAAAUGGUUAUUGAGAUUAUCCAGAGCCAUCUUAAAUCUGUCAGUCCAGAAUGUUGGCAUCCUCAAGUCUGUGUUGGACUGAAAAGGCAUGCUAACACUGACUUAAAUGGCGAGGAUGCUGUGGAGUCCACUGGGAUCCAGAGGACAAAAUGAGCUGCUUGUGUAAGCUGGGAAGAUGAGAGAAGCUGACAUUCAGCCUUAGGAACACCUGUGGCAGGCUCUCUGAGCACUGCUGCCAGUAGCAAGCUAAUCGAUUGUGCCCAUUUCUUCAGUUAUGAAAUGGGAAAGAAGGAAGAGGUUCCACAUCAUGCUAAGACUUAGGAAAAAUAAAAGUACAAUCUGCUGUCAUCUGUCUUGUGGGUUGGGACUUCAGAAGUAACUAGAAGCUAGUGAAAAUUUCAAGGAAGCCAAUUACUGAGCUCUCAGCUAUUGAAAACAUCACUUUGGCAACUCUGAGUAAUCUCUGUUUUCCCAAAUAUUUAAUGGGAAGAAAUGAGAAUGCUCUAAGGCUCACUGCCGAUUGCAGCUAUUGCAGAGAUGAGGAGGAAACAGCUGUGUCCUCAUUUAGACUCAAAUCUCACUUUAAAGAAGUGGCUGUUGCAAAUAAGGAAACUUUAAAAUAACUGAAAUGGGCAGCAAAAAUAUUGCUUGCUCUGUUUUAAGGAGCAUCUGGAGCUGUGCAAAGGAUGAGACAAAAUUUCUGACAGUACAAAAAUCAGAAUUUGCCUUUAGUGCAUUAAGAAGCUGUUAGAGGUGGGAGUGUUGAGCACAGUUUAGCAAUGCUCUACUACUGCUAAUUUACUCAGAGUAUGUUAUCAGGAUCUACGGCAGUAGUUUCGAAGUGGUAGGGCAGCGUGUUAACCCCGUGAUUUCCUCACCUUGACCAUUCCCUCUUGUGCCCUGUACAUCCUUGUACAGUCGUGGGACCUUCCUUCAGAUACUCCUUUUCCCCUGCCUUUGUGCAGAUUCCACUUACUCUGCUUCUGCCUUCUCUGGUAGAAAGCUGAAGGGCUGUGGGCUCCCUUUGCCAGUCCCUGGUGCUCACACUUGAGCACAGUUUCUGCUCUUGGCUUGUGUGACCAGCUCUGGUGACUGUAUUCAAGUAGUUUGUAUUCAAUGGCAUUUUCAGUCUUUGCUAGCAUUGUCAUUUUAUUUUCUGCAGUAACUCAUCUACACUGUAAUGCAGCAAUAAAACUAAAAAUGACCUCUCACUCAUUCUGGAAGGAAUUUAGGGUAGACCAUAGGACAAAGCCUGAUGCUGUACCAUAAUAAUAGGCCUAGCUCCAGUACUUAGGGGUAGCUGAACAAACCGGGCAUGACCUGGACUUGAAGUCCUCUAAGAGAGCAGCUCCAUGUAAUUUGUGUUUGUGUGACUCAGCCUACAUUACCACUGCACAGAGGAGAGGAGGUGUUAUGCCCGAGGUAAUUGCCAUGUUGCGGAAGUGUCUCCCUUAUAUAGACUCCAGUUGAUCCCAGC
rnacentral:lncRNA from 1 species